UAAACAAAUAAAAAUAUUCGCUUGCUCUCCCUCUCCCUCUCUCUCACCGUUGCCCUUCUCUGUUUCUCUCUUUGCUCUCUGUCUAUUUCUCUUUCUCUUUGACAUGCACAUAAACACAAACCCUAGGCCACCAUUCAAAAUCACUAUAGUACAAGAAUUUAACAAUACUCAACCUUUGCCCUCAGUCUCUCUCCCUUUCUCUCUCUCUCUAUAUAUAUAUAUAAUGCGGCGAAUUUUAGUACGGAGAGAGGGAUUUGAGCUCUGAUGAAUUGAUUCAUUUUCUGGUUUGAUUCUUCUUCUUCAACAUAGCUUUGAUUCUUCUUCUUCUUCUUCUUCUUCUUCUUCUUCUUCAACAUAGCUUCAACUUGCAGCUCUAACAGGUUAGUUCCGACUUUUCUUCUUCUUCUUCUCUAUUUUUCGAUCCUUCUAUGUGUGUAAUAGAGGAGACCAAACAAAGAGGAAGAUGUCAGACCUAGACAGUCAAAUUGAGUGGCUGAAGAAGUGCGAGCCUUUGAAAGAGUCCGAAGUCAAGUCCCUUUGCCUGAAAGCCAUGGAAAUCCUCGUCGAAGAGAGCAAUGUUCAAAGGGUCGACACACCUGUCACUAAGCAACACCUAAGACAAUGGGGGUAAAAGGUCUUGCCCUUUAUCACUUGAAAUCACAUCUUCAGGCAUAGUAUUUUGUGUCUCAUUUUUGCAGAAAUGUCGUUUGGGGAAACAAUCUUGCAAGGAGUUACCUGACAGCUCUAAAGAUGCGUCUUGCAUUGCUGAGAGUCAAGACACUGGUUCAUGUACAACAUCAUCAUCAAAACUAGCUCAAGAUUUAAAUGAGAGGUAAUGAUGCUUCUCACUCAGCUGAAGCUACAGCCCGCAGAGGAUCAAGUAGUUUUGCUCGCCCUGACGUUGUAUUGUGUUGUGUUGUUAAUGAAUGUUAAUGCUUCAAUUUAGAGUUGUACUGUGUCGAAUGUUAAUGAAUUAUGUAUUGUGUCGAAUGUUAAUGAUUCAGUUAAUUUGAAUGAUGCUUUAAAAUUAUAGGUUUAUUAUGGAUUGAAUGAA